GGCACUCUUGGCAAGCCCAACAGCCUUGUCCCCAGCCACCACAGCUCUCCUAGAAGGGCAGGAGAUGCUGUGAGGGAAGGGGAGAUGCGCUGAUGCCUCACUGCCCCGGGAGGCAGCGGGUCAGGCACUCACAGGGACAGGGAGAGAGCCGGGCUUGGGGCUGUCACAGAGCCACUUCCCUGGGCUCAGGGACCAGCAGGACACUGCUCCCCAGCAGGGCCUGGCAGCCACAGCCUCCACAUAGCAACGGAGACAAACAAACCCCGGGGCUGCAGUGGAGUGAUGACUGAAAGGAAAGGAUUCACCCAUUAGGCUGGAAACCAUGGCCAGAGUGCAGAAAUGAGGAUAUCCAGGAUUCCUGGAGCUGGAGCUGCAGUUUAUUAUCGGGUACCAAGGUUUUGACUUCUGGAGGUGGAAUGUGGCCCUGCUUUGCUUCUAUCCCACUCGGAGCAGGUUAAUGCUCCGGAGGCCUCUCUGCUUAGAUCUCCCUUCGUUCCCAAAGCCCUGCCUCUGGUGUGAGGUGAUGGAUGCCUGGAAAUGAACUGUGGGGGGAUUUAUUCCGGGAGAGAAGAUAAAAAUAAUUCAGCCUGUUUCUCUUUGCCCUGAAAUGCUGGACAUUCUGCGUGAAUUACGAGCAGCUGAUACGUCUUGUUCUCCAGAGGGUCAGGUAGGGAAAAGGGUUUGGAGCUGGCAAGAUAAGCCUUCCCUAGAAAGUGGGGUGGACUUACACAUCCAGAAAUAACCCUGAGUUUUCAAAGUCUGGGGGGGUUGUGCAGUGAUUUAGAAAACAAAACAAAAAAAAUUUCCCUGUGCCAUGAAAUCCAAAUAAAAAAAAGGGCAACGCGUUUGCCGAGCAGCUAAAUUGAGAAGCAAAGAGAAAGUACCAGGAAGGGCCAUUAGAGAAUAGUGCCACUGGAAUUAAAGAGAUAACUGGGGAGGCAGGGAAUUUCCCCAGGCAGGAUUUGGCUGCGUGCCUGCCCCAAAAAAUGCACUUUUUGACAUCAAGGCAAGAGCAGAGAGAAAGUGGGGCUUUCAAAGGCACUUUAUCUCCAGUUGUUCCAGUCUUAUUUUCUAAUUGGCCUGGACUCUGGGCCACUAAUAGAGCUGACAAAUGCUACAGGAGUAAGAGUAUUAGUAACUAAUGCACUUAAUGAUCUUGAAUAGACUUAAUACAUGAGGAAUGAAUUCUCCUUUAUUUCACAGGAGUGCAAAGGAGCCUUGCCAUAGGGACUAAUUGCAUUUAAUUCCAUGUUAGGGCCCAUUGAUCCUACCAACAACUUGGAUAACAGCCCAAGAGCAAAUGUGAUUCUCUCUGGAAGUGUUUCUUCUGAUCAAAUACUUCAGACAGACAAAACUGAAAAUAUUUUUGUGAUAUUACAAUGAGUUUUUGGGUUUUUUUAAAUGUAGUCUUAAACCAACCUGCUCUUCUGAGUGCAGUAAUUGGCUCUCCAAAACAAGUAGAAGUACAGAUGGAUGCAAUAUUUUUAUUUUGUGCUUCAGAUGAUACCAUAUGCCAAGCCUUAGGAGGUGCUCAGCUGCCAAGAAGGUACAAAUAGAGACUUACACAAGGUGAAACUGAAAGGUGAGACUGCCACGUUUUCACUCAGCAGGGCUCAGUGGAGUGUCAGCCUGUCCUCAGAGAAAUGGUGGCUUCUCACUUGAGAAAUUCUAGUUUUGCUUUGUGUCACAGCAAUUUCCCUUGAACUACCUGAAGGUAACUGGAAGCGCUCACUUUUAGCUGAGGGAGGAGGUGGGGGAUGUUUGUGAAGGUGGGUAAUGGCUGAGGGUUCAGAAGGUGGGUAAUGGCUUCAAAAAUUCACAAUUUUUAGGUGGGUAAUGGCUUCAAAAGUUCACAAUUUUAAGGUGGAUAAUGGCUUCAAAAAUGCACAGUUUUGAGGUAGGCAAUGGCUUCAAAAAUUCACAAUUUUAAGGUGGGUAAUGGCUUAAAAAAUUCACAAUUUUAAGGUGGGUAAUGGCUGUGGGUAUGGAAACCCUGUUCAGACAACAGAAGGGGUCAGAUGAUCUCUUUGGGGGCCAGCAGGCUCAUUCAGCUUUCUCACAGGAGAGGCCACAGACAGCUGAGCCAUUUCCAUGACACCUUCAUCUCCCCUGCACUCACCCACCUCAUCAUCCAGUGGGAUUUGUCUUCAGCCCUUUCCCACGGCUGGGGUGGGGCUGGCAGGGCUUGGGAAAGCAGUCAGCCUAAAGUUUAGAGCACCCUGACCAGUCCUCAAAAACUAAACCUGUGAACUGCUUCUGCCCCAUCCCCCCCACUCCCCUGUGCUUUAAUUUAAAUUAUUUUCUGUGCCUUGAACUGGCAAUGUGAACCAGGGUGGCUCUGGUGGCACCAGGAGAGAGUCACUGAUUUUCACUGAGGGGUCACGGGAUUUUUUGGGUGGGAAAAGUCCUUUAAGAUCAUCGACCCUGACCAUUAACCCACCACUAAACCCUGUCCCUGAGCACCUUUCUGAACACACCCAGGGACAGAUCUGCCAGGCUUUGAUCUGUCACGGUGCUGCAGACACCAAAUGAGAGGAUUUAAAAAGCUGUUCCUUCGCUGGGCACUUUUUCCUGUUGAUCCCUAAUAGGGUACCUAAUAAAUGUGUUUUUUACUGAGAGCUGGGGUUGUGCAGCCUGGAGAAGGCUCUGGAAAGACCUUCCAGCACCUAAAGGGGCUCCAAGAGAGCUGUUAACAAGGGCAUGAAGUGCUAAGAAAAAGGAUAGUGGCUUUGCACUGACAGAGGGCAAGGUUUAGAUCAGAUACUAGGGAAAAAAUCAGUUUAUUAAACAUGAAAUAAGCUCAUUCUAACCUCUGUUUUACAACAAACAUGUUUCUUCUCCAAAUUGGCAACUCUUAUUUUCUAAUAGGUUUGGGCUGUAUUAGGCUAUUAAUUAUUAGUUUUUGUAGCAAACUCAUUGUCUCCUCCCUCUUCAGUAUUUCACCGCAAGUUUAAAUUAUGCCUCUGCUAUUUAUUGGCAGGUUAUCUUUGGAUAGAGAAAGAAAGGAAAUAGAAUAAAGGAACUAGAACUGUAAUUUGCAGAACUUUGAAUUAUUUCUUGAAGGGCUGAGAUGCAAAAGUGCUGCAAUUUGCUGAAACAUGACUUAUAAAAAGGUGGGAAAAUGUCUAGAUAAUCAUAGCGACCCGGGCUUCCAUAACUUCCUUGGCAAUAUCACGGUGUCCUGGGUUGAGAAAUGUAACCAAAAAUGUGUAUUCUAUUUUCAUCUGUUGAAGCCAGUUGGGAGAUAUUGUUCUUUAUCUCUUGUAACUCUAGGGGUGGAAUGAGGGUGGAUGCCUUCUGUUAAUGGACACCUGAUAACACCAGAUAAGGCAGGGCCUCCUUAUCUCUUCCUGCACCCAUCCUCCUCCCAGGGACAUCCCCUGUGAAUGGGCCAUUGAAGGCUCUCACAGGACUGAUAACAUCACCUCAUCCCAUUGGGAGAUGUUCCACCCAGCAGGAGGAGCCAAAGCCUUUCCAUGGGAUAAAACAGCAAUCCCAAACACCAAGGGAGCUGUUCCCACUGGAUUCCCAGAGGAUGACUGGACCCUUUCUUGAGGAUCAUCUCUGCUCCAACAGAGCCACAUCUGUCACUCUGGGAGGACUCACUGCGGGCUGCUUCCAACACCCUGACCAACAGGGUGUCAGGUUUGCAUUCUGGCUCUGUCAGUGGUCCUUUGUACUACUGCAUUUGUCUUAUUUUAUUUUUAUUUUUAUCUUUUUUGUUGUUUGUCCUCUCUAUUAAAUUGUAUUUCUGA